GAGAGAGCAUAGUCAGAGUAGUAUAGAGAAGCUUGGUAGAUAAAGGUUGUCUCCGACCUAGUACCUCACCCUGGAAUGUUCCAGUGUCAGUGUGAGAAACGAAGGAUGAAACCUUGAGAUUUUGUAACGACUGUGAGCAGUUGAACAAAAUCACUACCAAGGACAGGUGUUCCCAUGUAGAAUGGAUGAUCUAUAGGAACAGCUAGUAAAAGCUGGUUGUUUUCCAAGCUAGAUCUGAAAUCUGAGUGCUAGCUGUUGAGAGCUAGAAUAGUCCAGUAUAGUUAGAAGGGAUCAGAAGAGAAGAAGCCAGUAUAGUAAAGAAGAAGAAAGGCGGGCAAGGAUCAGAGUG
rnacentral:lncRNA from 1 species